rnacentral:misc_RNA from 1 species
UCCUAGCCUCGAUUGGAGCAAUUGUCUGAGCUCAUUUUUGAGAUUUGGCUGCGGCAGCUUCGCUGCCGCAGCCAAAUCUCAAAAAUAGCGAGUGCGGAAAGCGAGAAAAAGC